rnacentral:rRNA from 1 species
UAACGCGUAAAGAACUUGCCUCACAGCUAGGGACAACAUUUAGAAAUGAAUGCUAAUACCUGGUAUUAUGAUUUUAAGGCAUCUUAGAAUUAUGAAAGCUAUAAGCACUGUGAGAGAGCUUUGCGUCCCAUUAGCUAGUUGGAGAGGUAACAGCUCACCAAGGCGAUGAUGGGUAGCCGGCCUGAGAGGGUGAACGGCCACAAGGGGACUGAGACACGGCCCUU